UCGUCUUUAAGCAUGCUAUCUGGUCAGCCGCGGUAAUACAUAGGUGGCAAGCGUUAUCCGGAUUUAUUGGGCGUAUAGGGUGCGUAGGCGGUUUUGCAAGUUUGAGGUUAAAGCCCGGAGCUCAACUCCGGUCCGCCUUGAAAACUGCAUUACUAGAAUGCAAGAGAGGUAAGUUGAAUUCCAUGUGUAGCUGUGAAAUGCGUAGAUAUAUGGAAGAACACCUGUGGCGACAGCGGCUUACUGGCUUGUUAUUGACGCUGAGGCACGAAAGCGUGGGGAGCAAAUAGGAUUAGAUACCCUAGUAGUCCACGCCGUAAACGAUGAGUACUAGGUGUUGGGGUUAUCUCAGCGCCGCAGCUAACGCAUUAAGUACUCCGCCUGAGUGGUAUGCUCGCAAGAGUGAAACUCAAAGGUAUU
rnacentral:rRNA from 1 species